AUUGAACGCUGGCGGCAGGCCUAACACAUGCAAGUCGAACGAGUGGCGGACGGGUGAGUAAUGUCUGGGAAACUGCCUGAUGGAGGGGGAUAACUACUGGAAACGGUAGCUAAUACCGCAUACCAUCGGAUGUGCCCAGAUGGGAUUAGCUAGUAGGUGGGGUAAAGGCUCACCUAGGCGACGAUCCCUAGCUGGUCUGAGAGGAUGACCAGCCACACUGGAACUGAGACACGGUCCAGACUCCUACGGGAGGCAGCAGUGGGGAAUAUUGCACAAUGGGCGCAAGCCUGAUGCAGCCAUGCCGCGUGUAUGAAGAAGGCCGUCGGGUUGUAAAGGACUUUCAGCGGGGAGGCGUUACUCGCAGAAGAAGCACCGGCUAACUCCGUGCCAACAGCCGCGGUAAUAC
rnacentral:rRNA from 1 species